rnacentral:rRNA from 1 species
ACGGAGGGUGCAAGCGUUGUUCGGAAUUACUGGGCGUAAAGCGCGUGUAGGCGGUUUUUUAAGUCUGAUGUGAAAGCCCGGGGCUCAACCCCGGAAGUGCAUUGGAAACUGGGAGACUUGAAUACGGGAGAGGGAAGUGGAAUUUCGAGUGUAGGGGUGAAAUCCGUAGAUAUUCGAAGGAACACCAGAGGCGAAGGCGACUUCCUGGACCGAUAUUGACGCUGAGACGCGAAAGCGUGGGGAGCAAACAGG